rnacentral:rRNA from 1 species
UACGGGGGGAGCAAGCGUUGUUCGGAUUUACUGGGCGUAAAGGGCGCGUAGGCGGCGUGGUAAGUCACUUGUGAAAUCUCCGGGCUUAACUCGGAACGGUCAAGUGAUACUGCUGUGCUAGAGUGCGGAAGGGGCAACUGGAAUUCUCGGUGUAGCGGUGAAAUGCGUAGAUAUCGAGAGGAACACCUGCGGCGAAGGCGGGUUGCUGGGCCGACACUGACGCUGAUGCGCGAAAGCCAGGGGAGCGAACGGG